AAUCUCGUGAAGAAAAAGAUCGUUUUCCACGAAAUUCGAACGCUAAAACGGGUUAAUACCGACGCAGAUGGAUGGUUGAUAGACCCGGUGGAAUUCUCCAGAUGAUAUCUCUUCCAUUACAAUCUGAUCGCAUACUGCACCACAGGCACCAGCCUGCCGGCUGUCAUGAUUCCACGGAACGGCAUAACUUGGAACGAACGGGCUUCCAUUCCGCCGAGUCAUGGCUUUUGAUGCUUUGAAUAUUGACCAGGUGAUACGUACUCCAUGCGGCAUAGGAGAGAGCGUGGUAAUCAAUAACGAUGAUACGGAAGAGGUAAAUGAUUUGCUACGACCCAGGUGUUUCAUAUUUUGUUUUUUUCAAGGAGGUGUUAAACACAGAAGAGAGUGUCUACCAUCGAUUCCGGGGGCAGCAUGAAGGUAAAACUGCAAAUUAAGCGCACAGCGGAAAACCAACUUUCAAAUAAACAACAAUUAUU